rnacentral:rRNA from 1 species
UACGGGGGGGGGCAAGCGUUGUUCGGAAUUACUGGGCGUAAAGGGCUCGUAGGUGGCCAACUAAGUCAGACGUGAAAUCCCCUCGGCUUAACCGGGGAACUGCAUCUGAUACUGGAUGGCUUGAGAUUGGGAGAGGGAUGCGGAAUUCCAGGUGUAGCGGUGAAAUGCGUAGAUAUCUGGAGGAACACCGGUGGCGAAGGCGUUCCGCUGGGCCGUUGCUGACGCUGAGGCACGACAGCGUGGGGGAGCAAACAGG